rnacentral:rRNA from 1 species
AACGAACGCUGGCGGCAUGCCUAACACAUGCAAGCCGAACGAGACCUUCGGGUCUAGUGGCGCACGGGUGCGUAACGCGUGGGAACCUGCCCUUAGGUUCGGAAUAACUCCCCGAAAGGGGUGCUAAUACCGGAUAAUGUCUUCGGACCAAAGUUUUAUCGCCUUUGGAUGGGCCCGCGUUGGAUUAGCUAGUUGGUAGGGUAAAAGCCUACCAAGGCGACGUUCCAUAGCUGGUCUGAGAGGAUGAUCAGCCACACUGGGACUGAGACACGGCCCAGACUCCUACGGGAGGCAGCAGUGGGGAAUAUUGGACAAUGGGCGAAAGCCUGAUCCAGCAAUGCCGCGUGAGUGAUGAAGGCCUUAGGGUUGUAAAGCUCUUUUACCCGGGAUGAUAAUGACAGUACCGGGAGAAUAAGCUCCGGCUAACUCCGUG